rnacentral:rRNA from 1 species
GUACGGGGGGGCAAGCGUUGUUCGGAAUUACUGGGCGUAAAGGGUUCGUAGGUGGCCAACUAAGUCAGACGUGAAAUCCCUCAGGCUUAACUGGGGAACUGCGUGUGAUACUGGAUGGCUUGAAUUCGGGAGAGGAAUGCGGAAUUCCAGGUGUAGCGGUGAAAUGCGUAGAUAUCUGGAGGAACACCGGUGGCGAAGGCGGCAUUCUGGACCGACAUUGACGCUGAGGCGCGAAAAGCCAGGGGAGCAAACGGG